GGGGUAUUAGUCUAGAUUGGUGUGAUACUGCGUUCGGAACGCAGAGGUCGGGCGUUCAAAUCGCUCAUACCCCA
rnacentral:tRNA from 1 species